AUUGAACGCUGGCGGCAGGCCUAACACAUGCAAGUCGAGCGGAUGAAGGGAGCUUGCUCCUGGAUUCAGCGGCGGACGGGUGAGUAAUGCCUAGGAAUCUGCCUGGUAGUGGGGGAUAACGUCCGGACACGGGCGCUAAUACCGCAUACGCUCUGAGGGAGAAAGUGGGGGAUCUUCGGUCCUCACGCUAUCAGAUGAGCCUAGGUCGGAUUAGCUAGUUGAUGGGGUAAAGGCCUACCAAGGCGACGAUCCGUAACUGGUCUGAGAGGAUGAUCAGUCACACUGGAACUGAGACACGGUCCAGACUCCUACGGGAGGCAGCAGUGGGGAAUAUUGGACAAUGGGCGAAAGCCUGAUCCAGCCAUGCCGCGUGUGUGAAGAAGGUCUUCGGAUUGUAAAGCACUUUAAGUUGGGAGGAAGGGCAGUAAGAUAAUACCUUGCUGUUUUGACGUUACCAACAGAAUAAGCACCGGCUAACUUCGUG
rnacentral:rRNA from 1 species